CAAUGUUGAUGUACAUUUCAAAGCAAAAUCACGACGUUUACUGAACCAUUUCACAAGCAGAUUGAUGAUUUCAUCAAUCAAAUGCACCACUGGUAGCAACCUUGCGAACCGAAGGACUGAGUUGAUUGACUCCGCAAUGUUUGUUGUCAUUACAUUGUAUUGACAUCCAUCCAUAUGAGCUCUAGACCACUUGUGUAAUCCUGCACUUUCAAGAUAUUGAGCAACCUCAUCAUUUCCCUUGAUCUUGAGAAAAUGAUGAUCAAAUUCAGCGAUACCAUAAGAUUUCGCAACUUGUUCAAAGUAUAGCAAUAAUUUAUCACGUUUUUUCAAUUUGAAAGUGCGUUUCUUGUUCCCCUUCAUAUGGUAAAAGCAUAUGCCAUGUUGCCAUUGGAAAAACGUUGUGCCACACAUUCUCUAUGCUAAUAUUCCGAUCAGAAAUAAUCACAAGAUUUGGACACUCACCAAUGGCUUCAUGAAGCUUACUGAAAAACCAAUGCCAUGAUGCAUCCGUCUCUAAAUCUCCAAUUCCAAAAGCAAGAGGAUAUAUAUUUAGAUUUCCGUCAAAUGCAUUGGCAACAAAGAGGACACCCUUAUACUUACAUUUUAAAUGUGUGGCAUCCACAGCAAUGAUUGGCUGCAUCGAAGAUUGAAACCCUCUAAUACAUGCCCCAACA
rnacentral:lncRNA from 1 species